rnacentral:lncRNA from 1 species
GUUACAGAUGUCCAGACUCCAAAUGCCAGUUCCUUCUGGGUGUUCAGCCACUGUGUUAAUCCUCUGUGGGGACCUGCUACUCGCUGCUCUGGUGAGGUGUUCCGCCAGGGCAAUUUCCUACCUGGGAGCACUCUUUGGAUCAUGUAACUCAGGCUGGCUGGAGUCCCCCGCAGAGAUGCUCCACAGGGCAGGCUUAAGCCACCUGAGGGGCUGCCUCAGCUGCCCAUCAGUUACCUCAUUUCCCAGUCAGAGAACCAAGAAAUGUAGCAGGACAAUCCGCAGAAAAAAACCUCUCAGACACUGAGUUGUAGAAGGAAGGGCUUUAUUCAGCUGGGAGCAUCAGCAAGCUACUGCUUUAAAAUCCGAGCUCUCCAAAUGCACGAUUUCUGUCCUUUUUAAAGGCUCACAACGCUAAAGAUUUCACAUGAAAGGGUCAGAUUGAUUUGAACAAGCAAGGGGUAUGUGACAGGGGCUGCAUGCACCAGUGGUCAGGGAGGAACAGAACAGGGCGGGGAGUUUCACAGUGUUCUUCUAUACAAUGUCUGGAAUCUAUGAAUAACAUUGAUUUUUAAGUUAUGAGUUGAUUUUUAACUACUAGGUUUAGGCCAGGCAGGCCCAGGGCUGGUUUUGGGCCUGGCGCCAGGCUGCCUGUCUUUGAUUUCACUUCCUUGUUUUUUUCUUAAAACAGGUACUGAGUAUAAAACAAUAAAACAAUAUGAGAGGGUCUCUCUCUUCCCUCACCAGAGGGGGCCAAAGUUUUAUGAGACAUCUCCUCAUCUGUGCACAGAUGGGUGGCGGACUCUGGAGUCCAGGCUGUUGCUUCCCAUUCUAGUGGUGAAUCUUCCAUAGUCUGGUAUUGUUGUCUCUAACCCAGACCUGAUCACCUGGCUACAGCAAGGAAAAGAAACUUUGACCAUGAAGAGACAGGUGAUGAUUGCCAAACACACAGAUGGACUCACAGCCUGUCACCCAGGCUGGAGUGCAGUGCU